GAUGAACGCUGGCGGCGUGCCUAAUACAUGCAAGUCGAGCGAACAGAUGAGGAGCUUGCUCCUCUGACGUUAGCGGCGGACGGGUGAGUAACACGUGGAUAACCUACCUAUAAGACUGGGAUAACUUCGGGAAACCGGAGCUAAUACCGGAUAAUAUAUUGAACCGCAUGGUUCAAUAGUGAAAGACGGUUUUGCUGUCACUUAUAGAUGGAUCCGCGCCGCAUUAGCUAGUUGGUAAGGUAACGGCUUACCAAGGCAACGAUGCGUAGCCGACCUGAGAGGGUGAUGGGCCACAAGGGAAGUGAGACACGGUCCAGACCCCAGAGGGGGGAAGGAAGAGGGAAUCUUCCGAAAGGGGCGAAAGCCUGACGGAGCAACGCGGGGGGAGUGAAGAAGGUCUGCAGAUGGAAAAACUCUUUUUUUGGGAAAAAAAAAAUGUGUAAGUAACUAAGCCGGUCUGGACGGACCCUAAACAGAAAGCCCGGGCUAACAAAGG
rnacentral:rRNA from 1 species